rnacentral:misc_RNA from 1 species
GCCACUGUAAUUUCCACGGGAAAAAAAUGUCUACCUGUCCAAUGGCCAUACUUAGGAUUUAAUCCUUCAAUUUCUAAGAUUAUUAGUGUUGCAUGUGAGUCAGAAGCAUUUUAUUUGUAUAACACCAUCUUAUCGCCUUUUAUCCAAAGUGGUUGCUGCUUAAGGGUGCCCAUGGCUUUUAUUUGAGAAGUGUGUAUGUGUAUGAAAAUGUACACAAACAGGCCCUUGUCCAGAAUAUGUGAAAUCAUUUGUUUCCCCUGCUUAAUUCUGUUGUCUUCAUAUGCCCCUCUUUUAUUUCCUCUUGAAUGUGCAGGAUGCAUGGGAGGAGGUUGAU